CCCCCCCUCAGAAUACGCAUCGCUCUAAGAAUAGCGUUGCAAUCGGGCUGGACAAAUGCAUAUUCACCUUAGUCCCUACUCUCACGGUACAGGCCAUAAAUCGGACAUGACGCCUGACAUGCCCAGUACAUAGAUACAUGUGAGAAAAUCAGCUAGCUAUCUUCCCCACCCGUUAAACAAAAUGCCCCAACUAUAUAUAGAGAGACCAAAGCAUCCAAGUUAGGCCCGCUAGGAUUCUUACAGUCUCCUCUGUUAGGAAGUUUAGUUGUGAGAUUUCAUUAGGGACAAACGGGUAAGUGUAAACAUUUUACUAUACUCAUUUUAUCUCAUAGGAAUGUGUGAGUACACACUAGUACACAACCACGUUCCCCGUCAUUACAUUAUGACUUUACUAUGUAUGUACAUUGUACUAUUUUAUGUCGAUACUAUAUCUUCAUAUAGUAUUAUUAAUGCCGCUAUGGCUGUCUACAUUUGAAACUAUAGUUAUUAUAUUUAAUUUGUUAUGUUUCAUCCAUUCCUGUAUUUUGGUGAUGGAAGUAAACAAUAACCUUUCGUGAAUCUAAGUACUGUCUAAGAACUUAGAUCACAAUGCUCUAAACUUACAGAGCCCAUGUGAAAUUAAUCAAUUCACAUUUCUGUUGUAUAUCCCUCAUGCAUGUUAUUAUGUCUCCCACCCUUGUGAACUUAUAGUUCCUUGGAUGAAUGUAAUUUUAAUUAACUAUAUCAAACACUUAUUACUGUAGCCAUAUCCCUAAUAUUUUAUUUUCAUCUUAUCCUUUAGUAUAUAAUAUGCUCAUUCCCCAUUUUACUGUAACUGAUUACUUAUCGUCGUAAUCAAACUUAUUGGAUGAAUCUUGACAAGUAUCAUCCUACAUUGUACUAUAGCACAUUUAUUGUGGUUAUCUUACUUAUAUCCUUUGUUAUUGAGUUGUAUACGUACUUUAAAGUUUUAUACAUAAUUGUCUUAAAUGCCUUAUUGGGAUUGAUACCAAUGCCUACAUCUGAAUGAUUGCAAGGCAUAUGGGAAUCCCUACUCAAUGCCUUUAGGAGGUUCCUAAUUGUCUGUCUUAUCCCCAGCCUGGUUGCUACCCCUGAUUGCUACCCCUGAUUGCUACCCCUGGUUACUACACACGAUUGCUACAACUACCAGAUCUCCAUAGAAAGCUGUAACCGAGGCAGACCACACCAGAUACACCCCCCCCCCAUUACAUAUCUGUUAGCAAGAAGGCAUCGCCUACUGUCCUUGGCCUUAACAUAUUGCCCAGUGUCCACAGUGCCCUAUACUGCCCAGUAUCAUCUGCCCAGUACCCGGCCCAAACUGUCCACUGCCCAAUAGUUAUUGCCUAAUGCCGACAGAUUAGAGCAACCUUCGCAGCAGAAGACAAACUGGUGUUGAGUUAGCACGGCUCUCUACGAGCUAGAGAUCACAGCUGAGAGAUCGUCCCACUACAACUUAGUCUGCAGCACCAACCAUCUCUAUUGCUAAACAGGCAGCGGCCUCACCCUAGAGCCAGCUUGCCUACAGCAUAGAGAACAUCCCGAGCCGACGUCCUAAGACAGAGCCGGAUGACUCAUCCUUCUGAGUGCCAGUCCUACGACCGCCAGAAGACGACCCACGGGCUAGCAGAUAAGAAAAUAAGUAGCAGACAUAGGAACAUUCUUCUCCUCCAACCACUCAAUAAUUAGCAAUCCAUGAUGAACAGUUAUUUUAGAUAUUAGCACCUUUACUUCUUUUAUUUUCUUAAUUAUAAUUUUAUUUGAUCACUUUCCUUUGUAAACUUUCAUUCAUUAAAUUAUUUUUAUUUAUGAACUUAUAAUAUUGGUCUGUUCUUACUGUUAGUUGCGGUGUGCCUGUACAAAAUCUUAUAUGUGAGCGGGAUAAAAUUAAUCAAAUUUCCCCUAGACCUAAACAAACAAGCCAAAUAUUAACUAAAUAACAUCUCGUCACAUAUAAAUGUGGUCCCGUCCGGGUAUCUGAAACUAGAAUCCUAUAUUAGACAGGCACAGGCAUACAGCAGUAGAACUUUCCUAAAUUUAAUAUACUUUCAUUAUCUUAAAGUAACGGAUUGCAAACGGAGUGAAGAGUGUUGCUAGAGUCUUUAUUUUAUAUCUAUUUUACUUUAGAUGUUAUCACGUAUUAACUUAGUAUAAUAUUAUUAUUUGUGGUUAUUUUAAGUUGCAUCACUGUACUUAAUAUUGUAUUAUUAUCACGGGCAACGUGGUUGUUGCAUACGGGCUUCAUAUAACGCUCUUAAUUCAAUAAUAUCCCUCCUUGUAGUCUUAUUAGUCUCCCAUCUUAUUUCUCUCAUACACAAAUAAUGGCCAGCAAUACAAGGUCCAAGACUGACUCUGACAGAAAACUCAGAAUACAAGAGUUGACAGAGACAGCGGCAUUGUUAGAGUUAGAGGGUCCAAGUCGCUCUGAUUACAUCCGACAAAAGUUGGAUGAGUGGGAGAAACGAGAAUUCGAGUUAGCAUUAGAAAAGGAAAAACUACAACUCGAACACGAGAGACUCAAAAAUGAGCAUGAGUUAGCCAUGGAGCGGGAGAGACAGGCAACUGAAAGAGCUAAAAUAGCUCAAGAGAAUCAGACGGCUCGCACAGUCGCUGAUUCUCAGCCUGCUAGCCCAGCUUCCAGCCAAGGGUCCUCAAAUAGCUCACCCAGCAUCCCCUUCGAGCCCUUCGAUGAGAAGAGUGAAAGUGUUGAAGUUUAUUUAACACGAUUCGAAGAGGUGGCACGCUAUUAUAGCUUGCCCAAGGAUAGGUGGUGUUUCAGGCUAGCUCAAUGCCUUAGAGGCAAGGCUUACGAGGCUUACACAAAGCUCCCCUCAUACCAAAGGGAGGACUUUGAAGCCCUAAAAGAGGCACUAUUGGUUCAAUUUGAGCUAACCUCUGAUUCAUACCAUAAGAAGUUUCGAGGGUCCCGCCUUGAGCGCAAAGAAACUUAUGUCAAUCUUUGCGACAGGCUGGACAAAUACCUCGGAAAAUGGCUAGCCCUAAGCAAAAUGCCCGAAACGUUUGAAGGUCUUAGAAACCUUAUUCUGGCUGAGCAGCUUCGAGACUGCUUAACGCAGGAAACUCGAAUAUAUGUCAACGAGCAACAGGUGAUUGACCCUUCUGACAUUGCAAUUGCUGCAGACCGAUAUUUAGCUGCUAGACGUGACACUAAGACAAAGACGGAAGACUCAAAGCCCCAAGCAAGCACAAAUAGAGCUAACUCCCACCAAGGGAAAAACAACCCACCCAACCACAAAAACAACCAGGCCGUUCAUCCUCGCCCCAAUACCCCGAACCCUGCUAAUUAUAGAUCUUCUCACCCGCCCCCUAAACAAUGGUGUAAUUUCCAUAAAAUUAACUCGCACGACACUAAAGACUGUCGGAGCAGAGGUAAGCCCACCCAUACUCUAAAUAGUAUACGCAAUCCUGCACCGAGUGAUGCUGAAGCCCUCGUCUUGGCCGCAGUAAGCGCUCAGUCAGGUGAGUCUCCUCAUCCCCCAAGUGUCGAAAAGGCGCUGGUCAACGGGAGGGCUGUGACUUGUCUCAACGACACAGGUUGCUUGGUGGAAGCUGUAGUUCGGGAGUCAUUGGUAAGCCCAAGUGACUACAUCGAGGAGACUACACAAAUCCAAACAGUUGAUUUGGAGAGUCCGCCCAAGACUCUACCUAUGGCUCUCAUAAAUGUAGAGUCAAAAUAUGUCCGCGGUCGCAUCAAAGCGAUUGUGAUGAAAUCCCCAGCCUAUGAUCUCAUAUUAGGCUGCCGAUACGUGUUUCUAGGAACACCACCAUACCCCAGCGUCUCUGCACCUGUUCUCACCAGAUCACAGGUACAAGUGGAAGGAUCUGACUCCCUCAAAGUCAAUACCAUUCCCACUGAGAUUAGGGAAGCUCAGAAGCAAGACCCCUCGCUUCAAAAAUAUCUUAGGCUCGCCCAAGAAGGUGAACCCACCCUUGGCAAGGCACAAUUUUUCUUUAAAACAGGGCUACUAUAUCGACGAGGUAAAGAACCAGAUGCCUGCAACCAGCUGGUGGUGCCCAAACCAUACAGAGAGCAGGUUAUGCAAACAGGUCAUGCCUCCUCUUUAAGUGCCCAUCAAGGUCAGAACUCGACCCUUAACAGGAUCCGAUUCCAUUACUUCUGGCCUGGCAUGACCGAAAACAUCAAACGAUAUGUCGCCUCAUGUCCACAGUGCCAAAAGUUGUCACCAAAGAAUCGCAUUCCGCCCGUUCCUAUGGGAAAAACCCCUUUGAUCGAAACUCCGUUUAAACGAGUAUCUGUGGACAUACUUGGUCCUCUACCCCGCACGAAGAAAAGAAACGCCUACAUUCUUUGUGUCAUAUGUCAAGCAUCAAGAUGGCCAGAGGCCGCCCCUUUGUCAAGCAUAGACUCUAAACAUGUGGCUGAAGCUCUGUUCAAUAUGUUCUCUCGGAUAGGCUUUCCCGAAGAGAUAUUAACAGACAAUGGUUCUCAGUUCACAGGGAAGUUAAUGAAGGAGGUGUAUGCUCUCUUUAAUGCGAAACAUCUCCGGUCUUCGGUAUACCACCCCCAAGCAAAUGGUCUUGUAGAACGGUUCAAUCACACUUUGGUAACGAUGCUUAAACGCCUCAUCGAUGAUAAACCAAAAGAGUGGGACACUUACCUACCUGCUGCUUUAUUCGCUUACCGAGAGGUACCUCACGCCAGUCUAGGGUAUUCGCCAUACCAGAUCAUCUUUGGAUCUCAUCCCCGUGGCCCACUAGAAAUCCUAAAACAAACUUGGACCAAAGAUCAACUCAACGAUGAAGUCAAAACGGUGUCCAAAUAUGUGAAGGACCUCCAAGAAAGGCUACAAGACAUACGGUCCCUGGCUAGAAGUAACCUCAUCAAGGCACGUAAGAGACAAGAGAAAUACUACAACAGGAGGGCUAAAGAACGGUCACUCAACGUCGGAGAUAAGGUUCUCUUGUUACUGCCCAAGAACACAAACAAGUUACAGAUUUGUUGGCAAGGCCCAUUCGAGGUGCUGAAAAAGGUAUCGCCCACUAACUACGUCAUUAAAGUCGGUCGCAAGGAGAAGUCUUAUCACGUAAACCUCCUCAAACACUACUUAGAGAGGCCUUCACAAACGGACCCUCCCCGAGACUUGAUGGCUAUAGCGGUGGCCGAGGAUGUGAAAGAACCCAAGGACCUAGUGGAGUACCCCCUCCAUGCAGUGGAGACACACGAGAACGUCACCAUUAGCCCACAGCUAGACGCCGAGCAAACAGCCGAGGUCAAAUCAAUGCUGGGGGAGUUCCAUGACGUCUUGUCGGAUAAGCCUGGCAGAACAUCGCUUGAGCGGUUUUCGAUGAAGCUGUUAAGUGCUGAGCCCAUAAAAGUAAAGGCCUACCCUUUACCUCACGCAAAAGCUGAGGUCAUCAAACAAGAGGUGGAAGAGCUUCUAAAAGCUGGAAUUAUAGCGCCUUCGGUCUCUCCAUACAACGCUCCAGUGGUGCUAGUUCGGAAGCCAGAUGGAGGCCAUCGCAUGUGCAUUGAUUUUCGACGCCUCAAUGCAGUGGCUGAAUUCCAAGCGGAGCCUCUUCCAGACCCAGCCACAAUUUUUGCCAACUUAAGUCACGCUAGGUAUUUUAGCAAAUUUGACUUAAGCCGAGGGUACUAUCAAAUAGAAGUUGAGCCAGAAUGCAGACCUUGCUAGCUUUUAGCACCCCACAAGGGCACUAUGAAUUUCAAACGGUCCCCUUUGGUCUGAAUAACUCGUCUAGCGUGUUCACGCGUAUGAUGAGAAAGCUAUUAGAUCCCAUCGAAAGUCCAGGCAUCCAAAAUUUCAUAGAUGAUAUUCUGAUCGCCACGGAGACCUGGUCCGAACACAUAGCUCUCAUCUCCUCCCUCUUGCUAAGGCUCCGCGAGACGGGUCUGACUGCUCGGCCCUCCAAAUGUCUCAUCGGUUUCACAAGACUCAAAUUCUUAGGCCAUGUCAUUCAAGAAAACCAGCUCAUGCCAGACGAAGAAAAGGUUGCUCAAUUACUCGAGGCUCCCAGGCCGAUCACAAAAACUGGAGUGAGAUCAUUCCUCGGGAUGUGUGGUUACUAUCAAAAGUUCAUCCCACACUUCAACUCUAUCGCUGCCCCACUGUCAGAUCUAACAAAAAAGGAUCGACCAGACAAGGUGACAUGGAAUGAGGAAUGUGAGCUCGCAUUCCAACGACUCAAGGAAUGCCUCACUUCAUCACCAGUGCUCAAGCUACCUGACCUGUCCCGCACUUUCGUGUUGAGGACAGACGCCAGUGGCUCUGGCCUGGGUGCAGUUCUGAUGCAAACUGCCGAAGGAUCCGGUGACACGCUUUUUCCAGUAGCUUACGCAAGCCGUAAACUGAACCAGGCAGAAUCCAACUACGCCACAAUAGAGCUAGAAUGCCUGGCACUGGUGUGGGCGAUAGAGAAAUUCCAGGCAUUCUUAUAUGGAAAGCACUUCACUCUGCAAACCGACCACAAGCCGUUAUCUUACUUAUCCUCCAGCAAGCAUCUAAAUGCCAGACUUAUGAGAUGGUCUUUGCUAUUGCAACCAUACUCCUUCCAGGUUGAACAUGUUCCUGGAUGUCAAAAUGCAGCGCCCGAUUUCCUCAGUCGGCACUGCGUUCUUGAGCCCACAGGCCUCAAUGGGUAUCACCCCUCAGUAAAUUUAAACAAUUAGAUUAGGCAACAACAAAGCUCAAAUGAAACUUGUAUGCAAGCAGUAUUAGUAUUCUGCGAAUACUUUUUAAGUGGGUGGGUAUGUGACGAUACGAAACUUGCAUGCAAAAGUUCAUUUGAGUUUUUCCCAGCAAACCGUGAGAAACUUUAAUUUUUAACUUAAACAAUUAUUUUCUUGUCCACCCAUAACUAAUUUCUUGUAGGAUUUAUCCCCCCUCGCACGUUUCUCACGGGACGAAUCUCGACGUAAAACAUUAACUAGCUUCUCUAGGGCUAACUUUUCAUUUUGACCGCUGGACAGGUGACCCACACACACAAUAUUCGCUUCACCUGCGCUACGCGCUGCGGACUAAUAACUUUUCACACCUAUUUCUCCCCCCUCCCCCCCCCCUCAGAAUACGCAUCGCUCUAAGAAUAGCGUUGCAAUCGGGCUGGACAAAUGCAUAUUCACCUUAGUCCCUACUCUCACGGUACAGGCCAUAAAUCGGACAUGACGCCUGACAUGCCCAGUACAUAGAUACAUGUGAGAAAAUCAGCUAGCUAUCUUCCCCACCCGUUAAACAAAAUGCCCCAACUAUAUAUAGAGAGACCAAAGCAUCCAAGUUAGGCCCGCUAGGAUUCUUACAGUCUCCUCUGUUAGGAAGUUUAGUUGUGAGAUUUCAUUAGGGACAAACGGCCUGGUUGCUACCCCUGAUUGCUACCCCUGAUUGCUACCCCUGGUUACUACACACGAUUGCUACAACUACCAGAUCUCCAUAGAAAGCUGUAACCGAGGCAGACCACACCAGAUACACCCCCCCCCAUUACAUAUCUGUUAGCAAGAAGGCAUCGCCUACUGUCCUUGGCCUUAACAUAUUGCCCAGUGUCCACAGUGCCCUAUACUGCCCAGUAUCAUCUGCCCAGUACCCGGCCCAAACUGUCCACUGCCCAAUAGUUAUUGCCUAAUGCCGACAGAUUAGAGCAACCUUCGCAGCAGAAGACAAACUGGUGUUGAGUUAGCACGGCUCUCUACGAGCUAGAGAUCACAGCUGAGAGAUCGUCCCACUACAACUUAGUCUGCAGCACCAACCAUCUCUAUUGCUAAACAGGCAGCGGCCUCACCCUAGAGCCAGCUUGCCUACAGCAUAGAGAACAUCCCGAGCCGACGUCCUAAGACAGAGCCGGAUGACUCAUCCUUCUGAGUGCCAGUCCUACGACCGCCAGAAGACGACCCACGGGCUAGCAGAUAAGAAAAUAAGUAGCAGACAUAGGAACAUUCUUCUCCUCCAACCACUCAAUAAUUAGCAAUCCAUGAUGAACAGUUAUUUUAGAUAUUAGCACCUUUACUUCUUUUAUUUUCUUAAUUAUAAUUUUAUUUGAUCACUUUCCUUUGUAAACUUUCAUUCAUUAAAUUAUUUUUAUUUAUGAA